rnacentral:misc_RNA from 1 species
ACAAACUUGGUCAUUUAGAGGAAGUAAAAGUCGUAACAAGGUUUCCGUAGGUGAACCUGCGGAAGGAUCAUUAUUGAAUAAACUUGGUGGGUUGUCGCUGGCUUUUCGAAGCAUGUGCACGCCUGCUGACUUUAUCCAUCCACCUGUGCACCAUUUGUAGUCUUGGGGGAUUGAAAGCAGUUUGAACCUCGAUAUAAUAGGGCUCUGCAGCCUUUGUUCGGAUUAGGGGAAUGCCUUGCAAAUGCUUGGCUUGUCCUGUGCUGUAAUCACCCUCCUUGACUAUGUCUUUUGCAUAUACCAUGUAGCAUGUCGCGAAUGUAUUAAAUGGGCCGCAGUGCCUAUAAACAUCAAUACAACUUUCAGCAACGGAUCUCUUGGCUCUCGCAUCGAUGAAGAACGCAGC